UCCGGUUUGUCACCGGCAGUCCCAUUAGAGUGCCCAACUGAAUGUAGCAACUAAUGGCAAGGGUUGCGCUCGUUGCGGGACUUAACCCAACAUCUCACGACACGAGCUGACGACAGCCAUGCAGCACCUGUGUUGCGGUUCCCUUUCGGGCACCGAGGUAUCUCUACCCCCUUCCGCACAUGUCAAGGGUAGGUAAGGUUUUUCGCGUUGCAUCGAAUUAAUCCACAUAAUCCACCGCUUGUGCGGGUCCCCGUCAAUUCCUUUGAGUUUUAACCUUGCGGCCGUACUCCCCAGGCGGGUAACUUAAAGCGUUAGCGACGACACGGAAGGUGGGGAUGACGUGCCGGCAUUAGCCA
rnacentral:misc_RNA from 1 species